GAUGAACGCUGGCGGCGUGCCUAAUACAUGCAAGUCGAGCGAACGGACGAGAAGCUUGCUUCUCUGAUGUUAGCGGCGGACGGGUGAGUAACACGUGGAUAACCUACCUAUAAGACUGGGAUAACUUCGGGAAACCGGCGCUAAUACCGGAUAAUAUUUUGAACCGCAUGGUUCAAAAGUGAAAGACGGUCUUGCUGUCACUUAUAGAUGGAUCCGCGCUGCAUUAGCUAGUUGGUAAGGUAACGGCUUACCAAGGCAACGAUGCAUAGCCGACCUGAGAGGGUGAUCGGCCACACUGGAACUGAGACACGGUCCAGACUCCUACGGGAGGCAGCAGUAGGGAAUCUUCCGCAGUGGGCGAAAGCCUGACGGAGCAACGCCGCGUGAGUGAUGAAGGUCUUCGGAUCGUAAAACUCUGUUAUUAGGGAAGAACAUAUGUGUAAGUAACUGUGCACAUCUUGACGGUACCUAAUCAGAAAGCCACGGCUAACUACGUG
rnacentral:rRNA from 1 species